UAAAGGCAAUAAGUAUGUUGUUGUAAGUAUAGCUGUUCAUACUGAGACGCUUGAAGAGCUUGUAGUUUAUCGAGCCAUUUAUGGCGACGGAGAAUUAUGGGCUAGACCUAAGAAAAUGUUUUUGGAUAAUAUUGAAAAGAACGGAAAGAUCAUCCCAAGGUUUAAAUUGAUUAAGAAACUUUGAUUUUGUUCUUAGUGUGUAGUGGUAGAGGAGCGUUCCUAUCAGCGGUGAAGUCGAAUCGGAAGGUUCGGUGGAGCGGUAGGAAGUGAGAAUGCUGGAAUGAGUAACCAUAAGAGAGGUGAGAAUCCUCUCGGCCGUAAGAGCAAGGUUUCCUGAGCCAUGGUAAUCAUCUCAGGGUUAGUCGGGCCUAAGCCGAGGCGCAGAGCGUAGGCGAUGGACAUCAGGUUAAUAUUCCUGAACCGGUUAAGUUUUGUACACUGUUCACGGGGAAGUAAUCGAAGCGGAUUCAUGGUUUAUCCGUCCAACCGAGCGGGAACGCAAAGGGAGUGAAAGUGAUUCUUCGGAGUCGCGAUUUUGGUGAAAGCCCUGGCUAGAAAAGCAGGUGUACGCAUGGACUUAGCCGCCCGUACCGCAAACCAACACAGGUGCUCGAGUCGAGUAGACUCAGGCUUACGAGCGAACCUUCGCUAAGGAACUCGGCAAUACAGCGACCGUAACUUCGGGAUAAGGUCUGCCCCCACUUCGGUGGAUAUCAGCCGCGUUCACUCAGUGAAUAUUAGGUUAAAGAGUACAUUUUUAAUCACAAAACGAAUUUUCUGAGAUAGAGCAAACGAAUUGUUCUUUUGAACGCGAACCUCUGACAUCUAACGAUGUGGGGGCCGCAGCAAAAGAGCCCACGGAACUGUUUAUCAAAAACACAGGUCUCUGCUAACACGAAAGUGGAUGUAUAGGGGCUGACUCCUGCCCAAUGCUGGAAGGUUAAGGGGAGCGCUUCACGGUGCGAACUGAAGCCCUAGUCAAUGGCGGCGGUAACUAUAACCGUCCUAAGGUAGCGAAAUUCCUUGUCAGGUAAGUUCUGACCCGCACGAAUGGAGUAAUCAUGUGGGCACUGUCUCAGCGAAGGACUCGGUGAAAGUGCAUUGGCGGUAAAGAUGCCGUCUGUCCGUACCAGGACGAAAAGACCCCAUGGAGCUUUACUACAGCUUUACAUUGAAUAUGGUUUCAACAUGUGUAGCAUAGGUGGGAGACUUUGAAGCAGAUACGCCAGUAUUUGUGGAGUCACCAAGUGAAAUACCACCCUUGUUGUGAUUGUGUUCUCACGCUGACCGUUAUCCGGUUAGCGGACCGUGUAUGGUGGGUAGUUUAACUGGGGCGGUUGCCUCCUAAAGAGUAGCGGAGGCGUUCAAAGGUUGGCUAACUUCGGAUGGAAAUCGAAGUGAUAGUGUAUGCGCACAAGCCAGCUUGACUGUGAGGAGUACAUUCCAAUCAGAGACGAAAGUCGGAGCAAGUGAUCCGCUGUACGUA
rnacentral:rRNA from 1 species